CACCCCGGGGACGCCCCCCCCGAGGCCGAAGGCUGCCCCGGGCAACUGCUCGUGAAGGCUCUGCCCUGCACGGCCGCCUGGGCUGCUGAGCAAGAGGCCGUGAGGAAGAGGAUGUCGCGGUGCCAGGAGCCGCGCGCGCAGGGCCCGGUGUGGGGGCU